rnacentral:tRNA from 1 species
GAGGAGAGGUCCAACCAACGAGAGCUGCUAAUUCUUGCAUCUGAGCUUAAUACCUCAGUCUCCUUA